UACAGAGGUGGCAAGCGUUGUUCGGAAUUACUGGGCGUAAAGGGCGCGUAGGCGGCCUUUCAAGUCCUGUGUGAAAUCCCUCGGCUCAACUGAGGAAUUGCACGGGAACUGUUUGGCUUGAGUUCGGGAGAGGGAAGCGGAAUUCCGGGUGUAGCGGUGAAAUGCGUAGAUAUCCGGAGGAACACCGGUGGCGAAGGCGGCUUCCUGGACCGACACUGACGCUGAGGCGCGAAAGCUAGGGGAGCAAACGGG
rnacentral:rRNA from 1 species